rnacentral:rRNA from 1 species
UACGUAGGGUGCAAGCGUUGUCCAGACUUAUUGGGCGUAGAGAGCUCGUCGGCGGUCUGUCGCGUCGGCUGUGAAAACUCGGGGCUCAACUCCGAGCUUGCAGUCGAUACGGGCAGGCUAGAGUUCGGCAGGGGAGACUGGAAUUCCUGGUGUAGCGGUGAAAUGCGCAGAUAUCAGGAGGAACACCGGUGGCGAAGGCGGGUCUCUGGGCCGAUACUGACGCUGAGGAGCGAAAGCGUGGGGAGCGAACAGG